AUACCCCACUAUGCCUAGCUGUAAACCCUGACCCUUCCGCCAGAGCACUACGAGCAAUAGCUUAAAACUCAAAGGACUUGGCGGUGCCCCAAACCUACUUAGAGGAGCCUGUUCUAUAAUCGAUAACCCGCGUUCAACCUCACCAUCUUUUGACACUCAGCCUAUAUACCACCGUCGCCAGCUAGCCUUCUAAGAGAAACUAAACUAGCCCAAUUAGACAACCUAAACACGUCAGGUCAAGGUGUAGCAUAUAAGAUGGAAGAAAUGGGCUACAUUUUCUUCUUAAGAAAAUACGGAAAGUGACAUGAAAAAUAACUCAAAGACGGAUUUAACAGUAAGAGGGACCAAUCAUAUUCCUCUUAAACCAGCUCUGGGACGCGCACACACC
rnacentral:rRNA from 1 species